GUCGAGCGGAGAGAGGUAGCUUGCUACUGAUCUUAGCGGCGGACGGGUGAGUAAUGCUUAGGAAUCUGCCUAUUAGUGGGGGACAACAUUUCGAAAGGAAUGCUAAUACCGCAUACGUCCUACGGGAGAAAGCAGGGGAUCUUCGGACCUUGCGCUAAUAGAUGAGCCUAAGUCGGAUUAGCUAGUUGGUGGGGUAAAGGCCUACCAAGGCGACGAUCUGUAGCGGGUCUGAGAGGAUGAUCCGCCACACUGGGACUGAGACACGGCCCAGACUCCUACGGGAGGCAGCAGUGGGGAAUAUUGGACAAUGGGCGCAAGCCUGAUCCAGCCAUGCCGCGUGUGUGAAGAAGGCCUUAUGGUUGUAAAGCACUUUAAGCGAGGAGGAGGCUACUUUAGUUAAUACCUAGAGAUAGUGGACGUUACUCGCAGAAUAAGCACCGGCUAACUCUGUGCCAGCAGCCGCGGUAAU
rnacentral:rRNA from 1 species